GACGAACGCUGGCGGCGUGCUUAACACAUGCAAGUCGAACGGAAAGGCCCUGCUUUUGUGGGGUGCUCGAGUGGCGAACGGGUGAGUAACACGUGAGUAACCUGCCCUUGACUUUGGGAUAACUUCAGGAAACUGGGGCUAAUACCGGAUAGGAGCUCUCGCUGCAUGGUGGGGGUUGGAAAGUUUCGGCGGUUGGGGAUGGACUCGCGGCUUAUCAGCUUGUUGGUGGGGUAGUGGCUUACCAAGGCUUUGACGGGUAGCCGGCCUGAGAGGGUGACCGGCCACAUUGGGACUGAGAUACGGCCCAGACUCCUACGGGAGGCAGCAGUGGGGAAUAUUGCACAAUGGGCGGAAGCCUGAUGCAGCAACGCCGCGUGCGGGAUGACGGCCUUCGGGUUGUAAACCGCUUUCGCCUGUGACGAAGCGUGAGUGACGGUAAUGGGUAAAGAAGCACCGGCUAACUACGUG
rnacentral:rRNA from 1 species